rnacentral:rRNA from 1 species
CCGCGUGAAUGAUGAAGGCCUUAGGGUUGUAAAAUUCUUUCAGCAGGGAAGAUAAUGACGGUACCUGCAGAAGAAGCCCCGGCUAACUCCGUGCCAGCAGCCGCGGUAAUACGGAGGGGGCUAGCGUUGUUCGGAAUUACUGGGCGUAAAGCGCUCGUAGGCGGAUUGGUCAGUCAGGGGUGAAAGCCCGGAGCUCAACUCCGGAACUGCCUUUGAUACUGCCAGUCUUGAGUUCGGGAGAGGUGAGCGGAAUACCGAGUGUAGAGGUGAAAUUCGUAGAUAUUCGGUGGAACACCAGAGGCGAAGGCGGCUCACUGGACCGAUACUGACGCUGAGGAGCGAAAGCGUGGGGAGCAAACAGGAUUAGAUACCCUGGUAGUCCACGCCGUAAACGAUGAGAGCUAGUUGUCUGGCAGCAUGCUGUUAGGUGACGCAGCUAACGCAUUAAGCUCUCCGCCUGGGGAGUACGGCCGCAAGGUUAAAA